ACGAGUUUUAAUUGUUAGGUUAGAGUUGAGCUGGUUAAUCUAAUUAAUAUGUGCUUACUCUAAUCGAAACAAGUCCACUCAUUACUUAACACUUGUGACUUACUUCAUUACAAACAUUAUUAUUUGUUUAUGGAACGUUUUGAUUAUUAAAAGUUAU
rnacentral:misc_RNA from 1 species